CUCCCCACCCCCAAACCUCUCAAUCACCCCGAUUCUCUCUCUCUCUGUUCUCUCUCCCUCUCCCCACCCCCAAACCUCUCAAUUCACCCCCAAAAUCCAACCUCUAAUUUGCUCGCGUCUCCGGCGAAUUCGACGCCUCAUCGUCGCAAAUUCGCAGGUCCGAUCCCGAAUCCGGCGCUGCUUGUUGCGGUCUCCGGCGAUGGCCACACACGUCUAGGGUUUUCCCGGCUCCAAACCCGAUCGAUUCGGCGGCGCUUCCGACGAUGGACGGCAACAAUAUUCCCCUCCCCCUUCUCGCCGGUGGUUUCCGCCCCCUCGGAGCUCGGAAUCAGUGGUUUUCCGGUUCGUUAUCUCGAGUUUCUUCCAGCGGCUCGCCUAAAUUCGGCGAGGUGCGAUCGAGAUUCGCCAUGGCUAGCUCCGGCGAUGGAGAGAACGGCGAGAACCGCUGGACGCGACCGGACCGCGACGAGCCCGGCGAUCCGUCGUUGAUCGUCGCGUCCUCGGUGGAGUGCGGGCCGAGCUAGAGGGUUUCGAGGGGGGCAGCCGAGGAGAUUGGGACUCUAAAUCCAGGAUCUGACAAAUGGAAAAGAUACUUUGGUACAUGUGUUCGAUUUUCAGCACAAAAGAUGUGUCGGUUCAAAGACAAUUAAGAGUGCUUCCUCUGGUGUGGUGAUUGUCGAUGGUACUUAUGCUCUACAUGCGAGGUUGCGGUCUUUGCUAGAUAUUCGGGUUGCUGUUGUUGGUGGUGUCCAUUUUAGCCUCCUUUCAAAGGUCCAAUAUGAUAUUGGAGACUCUCGUUCACUGGAUUCUCUCAUUGACAGCAUCUUUCCAUUGUUUAGGAGACACAUUGAGCCAGAUUUACACCAUGCACAGUCUCCAGAUUCCUUUCCUGCCCAGGUUCUCCAAGGAAAUGAAGCUCAAACAGAUAACUUUAUUGAGAUGUACCUGAGACCUCCAUCAGCCAGUGAAGAAGCACGAAUAAACGAUUGGAUUAAGGUGCGCCAAUCUGGUAUUAGGUACUAUCUUUCCCUGGGUGACCAGAGGAUUGUGGACAAGCAUUUCAUUAUCCGACCCAAAGCAGAGUUUGAGGUAAGAAACAUCUCAUAUUUCAUUACACUAAAUAGUCGUCCUUUGAGUUGACUUGAUGAUUUACUAUGCUGAUGUCUUGUCCUCUUUAUCAGUUUUGUAAGGUUUCUAUUUCACUCCUAUGAACCUUGACAUGCAGCUAGAUAUAGCAUUUGAGAUAGUUUUCUUCUGCAAUUUGAGAAUUGGCAUAUGUAAGAAUCAACUUACACACA